rnacentral:rRNA from 1 species
UACAGAGGUCUCAAGCGUUGUUCGGAUUCAUUGGGCGUAAAGGGCGCGUAGGCUGCGGGGCAAGUCGGGUGUGAAAUCUCAGAGCUCAACUCUGAAACUGCACUCGAUACUGCUUUGCUUGAGGACUGGAGAGGAGAUUGGAAUUCACGGUGUAGCAGUGAAAUGCGUAGAUAUCGUGAGGAAGACCAGUGGCGAAGGCGGAUCUCUGGGCAGUUCCUGACGCUGAGGCGCGAAGGCUAGGGGAGCGAACAGG